UUUGGUCAUUCCUAACACAUGCAUAAAUGCCUUAUAUCAUAUGAUGCUGUACUUAAUAUAAGGUCAGACACCUUUGGUCAUUCCUAACACAUGCAUAAUGCCUUAAUGAUGUUAACACAACUGUAUUAACACUUAGGGAAUUGGCAUUAAAUGAUAAAACAAGAAAACAUUAAAGAAAUGUUUAAACCAUACAGUACAUUUAUUUUAUUUGUACAUUUUUAAAACAAUACAAAUACAUGACAUUUCAAACAGUCCAGCAGUGCAGUUACAUUGACCAUUACACAGGGCUGUGAAUAGUCCAGCUUGUCCCUGAGCUGGCAGGAAAACGGUUCUUGGGUGUUACUGGGUGUUGGUUCCAACCUAAAUGAACAACAAAGUUAGCAGGUCUGUUAGGAAAGGUUGUUUGUCACACCAUCUAGAUAAGGGCAUUUCUGUGCUGCACAAGAAACUCUAAACGGGAAGAUGGGAAACUCCAUUAAAUUCGUAUUGUUACAAUACAGCUAUGAGACAUGUAUGUGUGUAGGGGAUAUAUAUGUAUUUAGCUGAGCCUGCUAGCUAACAACAUUUUGUCUAGCUAGUAAUUGCUGUGAAGUCACCGAAAUGAUUUGAAAUAAUGAUUGAGGUAGCUACAGUAUGUAAUCUAACUCAACACUUAACUACUACCAACACAUUUAAAUCACAAUAAAUAAAGGUGAACUUACUUGUUUUUGGAUUUGAGAACUCAUCACAUCAUCUGUGUCUCAUCAGCAACACUAAAAAAGUACUUCCGUGUCACAGAAUUUUGGAAAUGUUCCAAAUAAAGUCCCCCAUGUAAUAGCAGAAAAGUCUCAAAAACCAUUCAUGAUAUAUGAAAAAUAAUUGUCUAAACAUUAAACAUAGAUUUUUAAGUGACAUUUGCAUUACAUUUGGGUUUUAAAAAAUGUUCCAAGGUCAAAUAAAUGCUCCCAAUGCAAAUCACCAUAUAUAGAAUACAUAUUGGCUUAGAGCAAUAACUAUUCUGGGUGCAGCAGUACAAGUAUUGCAGGGAAUACUCAAUAGGGUCUGUAGAAUGAAUGUACAGUGGGGAGAACAAGUAUUUGAUACACUGCCGAUUUUGCAGGUUUUCCUACUUACAAAGCAUGUAGAGGUCUGUAAUUUUUUAUCAAAGGUACACUUCAACUGUGAGAGAUGGAAUCUAAAACAAAAAUCCAGAAAAUCACAUUGUAUGAUUUUUAAGUAAUUAAUUUGCAUCUUAUUGCAUGACAUAAUUAUUUGAUACAUCAGAAAACUGUAUAUAUGGUGUCAUUUCAUGGGGCUCAAAAUAAUACGGAAUGUGGCCGGCCUUUUACUCCACUCAUUCCAUUGGCGGCCAGAUCACAUCAUGUGUGCUUACUGCACUACAGAAAGCCUGCUAACAAAACAAAAGUGCAGAGCAUGCUCACUGAAUUAAAGAGCAACUACACUUACAAAUAUAUGUUUCUUAGAUUUUUCACAGACCUCAAAAGUCUGAUGUGGUUUAAGAAUUGUUGUGAACACAGAAAAUGAAAUGUUGUUUUUCUAUUAAGAAAGUGAGAAAACACUGGGGGAAAGCAGAAAGAAUGGGGAAAAUCUGAAACCCGGAAAAACAAAACCAAGAAAACGGAAUUUGGCGUGGAAAAAGAAGUAGGCAACUACAACAAACAGACUAACGAUUGUAAAAGGCCCUACCAAGGUUUUUUGCUUUGCAUGACUGCACUUUAGAGUCUGUGUUCUCCUGCAGCACAGCGUUUUGGGGGAAGUUGAAGUCAAGUCCAAUAUUGACUAUGCACCCAAGAGGGAAAGAGGAUGGGCCAAUCUAGAAAUGUUUUAGUGAAAUAUAAUAUAUGACAUUUUGCAGACACUUUUAUCCAAAGCGACUUACAGUCAUACGUGAAUACAUUUUUACGUAUUAUAGGGUGUUGAAUCGAAUCGAACCCAAUAUCCUGCCGUUGCAAUGCUCUACCAAGAUGUAUGACAGGGUUAUAAAUACUUUGUGAAGCCACAAUUGAAUAUGAUUUAUAAGCUCUUUAUUAAGCGGUGCUCAUGCUACCCUUUAUAAAGCACAGGUUUGUAUCAUUUUCGACAUCGUGGGUUUUGUCCCCUUAGACAUUGGUGGUUAUGGCGAACAGUUAUGCCACAGUUAUGAACCCUUUAUAAAGCAUGGCAUACGAUUAUAGAUGGUGUGUAACACAUUUAUGUAGUGUUUAUGAAGGUUUUAGGAAGCCUUUAUAAGCUGCACGUCAUUUAAAGUGGGACCAAAUUCAUGAAUAAACUUAAUUCAUA
ensembl:lncRNA